rnacentral:rRNA from 1 species
GGGCCCGCACAAGCAGCGGAGCAUGUUGUUUAAUUCGAUGCAACGCGAAGAACCUUACCAGGGCUUGACAUCCAAUGAAUCCGGUUGAAAGAUCGGAGUGCCCUUCGGGGAACAUUGAGACAGGUGGUGCAUGGUUGUCGUCAGCUCGUGUCGUGAGAUGUUGGGUUAAGUCCCGCAACGAGCGCAACCCUUAUGGUCAGUUGCCAGCACGUAAAGGUGGGAACUCUGACAAGACUGCCGUGGAUAACACGGAGGAAGGUGGGGACGACGUCAAAUCAUCAUGCUCCUUAUGUCCUGGGCUACAAACGUGCUACAAUGGCCGUAACAAAGGGAAGCGAACCCGCGAGGGGGAGCGGAACCGAAAAAGCGGUCUCAGUUCGGAUUGUGGGCUGCAACCCGCCCACAUGAAGUUGGAGUUGCUAGUAAUCGCGAAUCAGCAUGUCG